rnacentral:rRNA from 1 species
AGCGAACGCUGGCGGCAGGCCUAACACAUGCAAGUCGAACGAACUCUUCGGAGUUAGUGGCGGACGGGUGAGUAACACGUGGGAACGUGCCUUUAGGUUCGGAAUAACUCAGGGAAACUUGUGCUAAUACCGAAUGUGCCCUUCGGGGGAAAGAUUUAUCGCCUUUAGAGCGGCCCGCGUCUGAUUAGCUAGUUGGUGAGGUAAAGGCUCACCAAGGCGACGAUCAGUAGCUGGUCUGAGAGGAUGAUCAGCCACAUUGGGACUGAGACACGGCCCAAACUCCUACGGGAGGCAGCGGUGGGGAAUCUUGCGCAAUGGGCGAAAGCCUGACGCAGCCAUGCCGCGUGAAUGAUGAAGGUCUUAGGAUUGUAAAAUUCUUUCACCGGGGACGAUAAUGACGGUACCCGGAGAAGAAGCCCCGGCUAACUUCGUG